rnacentral:misc_RNA from 1 species
CUUGACAGACAAGUACCUUGUGAUGACUAAGCAUCCACAAUUCUUAGUUGCAACUAUCAGCACACCAUUAAAGUUUCAGAAAACACGUCAUAACAUCAUGGACAUUCUUAUAUAUAAUUCACUGUUUCAGAAACUUCACUAAGGGAAGAAAAAAUAAAAUUUGUUUAUCAGAGGAAAGAAAAUUGUGCCAUCCAGAUAUGAAAUUUCAUUUCAACGAAAAGUAGGGGAAAAAAUAAGAACUAUAAAAUAAACAAGCAUUCACAGGUGGACAGGAUAAUAAGACCAGAAAAGAAGUAUAUGAAAUGUGAUAGAAGCAGCCACCACCUCCAUGUUCCUUCGCUUGUAUCCACUUGAAGAGAGGUAUCCAAUUGUCAAUGCCGCAAUGAGAAUAGG